rnacentral:rRNA from 1 species
CCUACGGGAGGCAGCAGUGAGGAAUAUUGGUCAAUGGGCGGAAACCUGAACCAGCCAAGUAGCGUGCGGGAUGAAGGUACUAAGGGUUGUAAACCUCUUUUGCACGGGGACAAAAUCGGCCACGGGUGGCCGUAUGAAGGUACCGGGAGAAAAAGCGUCGGCUAACUCCGUGCCAGCAGCCGCGGUAAUACGGAGGGUGCGAGCGUUAUCCGGAUUUAUUGGGUUUAAAGGGUGCGAAGGCGGCGUGUCAAGUCAGCGGUAAAAUGGCGGGGCUCAACCCCGGCCGGCCGUGGAAACUGGCGUGCUUGAGUUGGAGAGAAGUAGGCGGAAUUCGUGGUGUAGCGGUGAAAUGCAUAGAUAUCACGAAGAACCCCGAUUGCGAAGGCAGCAUACCGG